rnacentral:rRNA from 1 species
GACGAACGCUGGCGGCGUGCCUAAUACAUGCAAGUCGACCUUAGUGGCGCACGGGUGAGUAACACGUGGGUAACCUGCCCAUCAGAAGGGGAUAACACUUGGAAACAGGUGCUAAUACCGUAUACUGAUGGAUGGACCCGCGGUGCAUUAGCUAGUUGGUGAGGUAACGGCUCACCAAGGCCACGAUGCAUAGCCUACCUGGGAGGGUGAUCAGCGACAUGUGGAAUGAGAAACGGCCCAACCUCCUACGGGAGGACGCAGUAGGGAGUCUUCGGCAAUGGACGAAAGUCUGACCGAGCAACGCCGCGUGAGUGAAGAAGGUUUUCGGAUCGUAAAACUCUGUUGUUAGAGAAGCGGUAUCUAACCAGAAAGCCACGGCUAACUACGUGCCAGCCGCCGCGGUAAUUC